rnacentral:lncRNA from 1 species
CUGAAACAGGAGGUGGGCUGGUACACACCAGGGGGUCCCCUGUGCUCCCCCAGGUCACAAUCUCCAUGCUUGUGACAUAGUCUCAACACUGUAAAUCCUAUGGCCCCACCUCUACUCCGCCUUGAAGAAGUUAGGUGUGUCCACAGGCAUCACCUGAAAGUCACCGUGACGUCUUUGAAGGCCAAGGUUGUGCCUUUCCUCCGUAAGUGCUUGUAUUCUGAUUGGCAAUCUGCCCACCUAGACUGGGAGCUUCCUGAGGACAGGAACUGAAUCACUCAGCUGAAUGAGCCCAGCACCCAGCAUGGUGCCUGAGAACCACACAUGCUCGUUCUGCAGGAAACUCAACCCUGGGCUCACUGUGGAGGGUGCCGCUGAUCACCACCUAUGCACUCAUAAGCCUGUGAGAGAGAAAAAAGCUGGGAGAAUUGGAUCCAAGGCUUGGCUUCUUCAUUCUGCAGCCUUGCACAAUGGAUGGAAGGAGCCCUGUGACUGGCUUGUCGAUGAAUGAAGAGGACACAAGAGCCGGCAGGCAGAGCACAAGUUAGAAUGAGCUUUGAGAACAACACAAGGGUGAUGGCAGCCAGUGGGAGCCCUGAGAAGGGAGAGUCCGGGCCCAGGGUCACCAGGCAGGUGCCAGGGAUGCCAAGCAGAGGGAGGGUAGUCGAGGGAGUUGUCAGUCACCCAGUCGUGUCUGACUCUUUGCAACCCCGUGGACUGUAACACCCCAAGCUUUUCUGUCCCUCACCAUUUCCCAAAGUUUGCCCAAGUUCAUGUCCAUUGCAUCAGUGAUGCUAUCCAGCCAUCUCAUCGUCUGACGCCCUCUUCUCCUUCUGCCCUCAAUCUUUCCCAACAUCAGGGACUCCAUCCCCUAGUCGAGGGAGGCUGGGAGAACAAAAGGAUUCUGACUAAAAGGCAAAAUAGUUUGUUUCUAGUGCCGGCUUGCCACACCUCCCCACCCCGCCCACCCUUGGGCUGAUUCACCUGUAC